rnacentral:rRNA from 1 species
UACGAAGGGUGCAAGCGUUACUCGGAAUUACUGGGCGUAAAGCGUGCGUAGGUGGUUUGUUAAGUCUGAUGUGAAAGCCCUGGGCUCAACCUGGGAAUGGCAUUGGAUACUGGCGAGCUAGAGUGCGGUAGAGGGUAGUGGAAUUCCCGGUGUAGCAGUGAAAUGCGUAGAGAUCGGGAGGAACAUCGGUGGCGAAGGCGACUACCUGGCCUGUUCUUGACGCUGAGGCGCGAAAGCUAGGGGAGCAAACGGG